CCUUCAUGUAAUGGGAGACUGAAACAACCCCAGCCAUUUAACUUGCUGACAGUAGGCCAUUGUUGAUGCUUGCAUUUGAGUAAGAACAUAAACUUCAAGGUGUGUAUUUGUAUUUAUACUUUGUCAUUGUUGUUGCUUUUUGUAAGUGCCAUCUUGGAGAUAUUUGUGUUUUUCCUUUUGACUGCCUCCUCCUUCAGUUGCACCCAGAGGGUCGGAACAGAAGCAGCAGCAGGAAUGUUGCUAGGCAAAAAGGUUCCGAUGACAAUGAUGGAGAUUGCAAAUUAUGAUUAGUGCAAACCCAGGAUGUGUCAUCAGCUUAGGAUUCUGUUAUUUACUUAAUUUGAGCCUAAUGAUAUGAAACAUCGUUGUAAUGUUGAAGUUUUCUUAUCCUUUUCAAAACUGGGGCUUGUUUUAGCAGCAUUGAUUAAGUUGUCAUUGAUUUUCAAGAUAGGAAAUAGAACUUUCAAAUUUCCCACAUGAAUUUUAAAUAAGUCAGAUAUUAACAACAAGAUAAAACAUUUACCAUGGCAAUGACAGAAUAGUCAAGUAUCAUUCAAAACCUUUCAAGGCUCACAAAGAGCAUAUGGAUUCUAGAUGUCAAUACACACAUGACUAAACUUACCUGGAGACACACAGCCAGCAAGAUGAGCAUCUGGAGCAGAGAGCUCUGCUCCUAGCGGGGAGACAAAAGAAAAGAAGAAAAAGAUGACAACACAACGGGCUGAAAUGACCAUAAUACCGGUAUGUGCCAGGUACUGAGAGAGGACGAAGGCUUCACGAAUGUGUUUGAAAUCAAGACUUGAUUGAUAGGUGAAUAGCGAUCAGCCCUGAUGGAGAUUUGGACUCUGGCCAUGACGUGUUUGGAACUGCCUUGGGAUAUAGAAGUGUUUUUGCACAAUUCCUGACUCUGCAAGCUUGUGUUUUAGUUGGGGGAUGCAAGCUAGAAUGUGUAAAAUAUCCAUUAAUAAUACAAGACAUCUUAUGAGUAAGUGGUAAAUCGUGUGGAACAGCAUAAAAGUACUAUAGCAAUUGAGAGUUGAAGCGAAUGAACAGAGUGUGGUGGGUAGUCAGCAGGAAGGAGGGAUGGAAGUUGAAUGUUUAAAAUAAGCAGAAUCUGGCUAAAUGAGGAAGAGGGGAUGUUGAGGGGACUGAGUAUUUUCGGUGACCAACUGAAACAGGGACAGUGUCUACAAGCUCUUGACUCCUAAAGAGACUGGCCUCGAUAAAAUCAGUGUUAAAAAUAGCGGGAGAGAAAGGUCUAUUGGAAGCUUUGGGCAAAAACGUAGAUAGUUUUGAGAAGAGUGGAAGAAAUAAGAAUACAAUUUUACUUUAACAGAAGAUAGCGGUGAGGGCUUGAAUACUAAGGAAUUAAUGAGAGAUCACCCCUUUAGCGACUCAAAGCAUAUUAUAACUCCAGCUGGUCAAAAAGAGAGGAAAUGAAUAAUAUAACAGGAACAACUGCAAGAGCAAGUGCAGCAUCAGGUUGGUGCAUUUCUUUUGAUCAAAAAGUCGAAUUGCAACUGGUCUUUGAAGAGUGUGCUGGUGACAGUGUGCAACCUCUGCAGUAGUAGCUCCUGGACUGGCCCUAGACUGCUGUCAAAUUAAACCAGCACUGUAAAGAAGAGAGCAAGUUGAAUGAAGUUGAAUGAAGGGGCAUCUUAAUUCCAAUCCUGGCUCUAAUGCUGACUGUAAGCAUGACCCCGGAUGAGUUAUUCACUCUCUCAGUCUCAGUCUCCUCAUCCACAAAGCAGGGAUCACAAUAAAUGAAUAGCACCUUUCACAGAACCCAGCAUAUAUACUGAGUGUUCAACAAAUACUGUGUUCAUCAUCUAACAUCAUAACACAUUGAGCAUCCAUCAAAGCAGAAGUAGUUCGCACCUGGAUAUUUCUGUUUCUUUUUUUUUGCUAUCCUACU
rnacentral:lncRNA from 1 species